rnacentral:rRNA from 1 species
UACGAAGGGGGCUAGCGUUGCUCGGAAUCACUGGGCGUAAAGGGUGCGUAGGCGGGUCUUUAAGUCAGGGGUGAAAUCCUGGAGCUCAACUCCAGAACUGCCUUUGGUACUGAAGAUCUUGAGUUCGGGAGAGGUGAGUGGAACUGCGAGUGUAGAGGUGAAAUUCGUAGAUAUUCGCAAGAACACCAGUGGCGAAGGCGGCUCACUGGCCCGAUACUGACGCUGAGGCACGAAAGCGUGGGGAGCAA